AGGCCUCGCCCCAGUCCUUCGCUCUCAAGGAACCUCAGCGGGGCUGUCUUACUUCCGGGAAGGCUGGCAGGCGGUGCGGGGCGGGGGUAACACCAGCCCCAAGGCGCCGUCUCCGCUGGGGGCGUGGCCAUUUUGCCCGCAGGGGCUAGAACCGGAUCCACCCAGGCCGGCCUUUCCGCCCUAACCGCUAUCCCGGUGUAGGAUACGCGGGCUGCACGGGGCGACCCGCAGGUAACCGCGGAAACGCUGGCGAAAUGCGGCCGCGCCCCGCCGUCCCUGCUUCAACGGCACCUGCACACCCGAGACCCGGGAGAACCAACAUCGCGUGCACGCGCCGCCCGUCUGUACGCUCCUCCCAGUCCCCGCGACCCCUCGCCCUUCCACGCGCCGCCCUGCACAGACCCUGCCUGUGACAAGACCUGCUCCUCGCUGGCAGACCUGGCUAACGGGUAAACAUCACUGCGGAGAGCUGGAGGUUUCUGGAGGCAAUGGGGGAGUACAUCUAGCAGCCUAUACAGAGGGAUCCAGCGACUACAUUACAGGAGACAGAAUCUGCAUAAGAUCCAGCAGAUCACAAAGCUUUCUUGCUGGAGCUGGCAGUGGAGAGUACACAGACAAGGUCUAAUUAUGUAGAAUGACUGCCAACCAGCAGUUUAAUCAUAGAAGAUAACACCCAUGGAAAAAAGGAGAUGUGCUUGUGGAGUGGAAGAGCAAGCAGAAUCAUCUGCACUAUUCAAUUUGUAAUCUUUCUUCCUUGGUUAUAUAAUUGAUUCUAAACUGUA